UACGGGGGGGGCAAGCGUUGUUCGGAAUUACUGGGCGUAAAGGGCUCGUAGGUGGCCAACUAAGUCAGACGUGAAAUCCCUCGGCUUAACCGGGGAACUGCGUCUGAUACUGGAUGGCUUGAGUGUGGGAGAGGGAUGCGGAAUUCCAGGUGUAGCGGUGAAAUGCGUAGAUAUCUGGAAGAACACCAAAGGCGAAGGCAGCAUUCUGGGAAGUAACUGACGCUCAUGUGCGAAAGCUAGGGGAGCGAACGGG
rnacentral:rRNA from 1 species